UACGUAGGGGGCAAGCGUUGUCCGGAUUUAUUGGGCGUAAAGAGCUCGUAGGCGGUUCGGCAAGUCGAAUGUGAAAUCUCCACGCUCAACGUGGAGGGGUCAUUCGAUACUGCCGUGACUCGAGUCCGGUAGGGGAGUGUGGAAUUCCCGGUGUAGCGGUGAAAUGCGCAGAGAUCGGGAGGAACACCCGUAGCGAAGGCGGCACUCUGGGCCGGUACUGACGCUGAGGAGCGAAAGCGUGGGGAGCAAACAGG
rnacentral:rRNA from 1 species